rnacentral:rRNA from 1 species
UACGUAGGUGGCAAGCGUUGUCCGGAAUUAUUGGGCGUAAAGCGCGCGCAGGCGGCCUUUUAAGUCUGAUGUGAAAGCCCACGGCUCAACCGUGGAAGGUCAUUGGAAACUGAAAGGCUUGAGUACAGAAGAGGAAAGCGGAAUUCCACGUGUAGCGGUGAAAUGCGUAGAGAUGUGGAGGAACACCAGUGGCGAAGGCGGCUUUCUGGGCCCUACCUGACGCUGAGACGCGAAAGCGUGGGGAGCGAACCGG